GACGAACGCUGGCGGCGUGCUUAACACAUGCAAGUCGAACGGUGAAGCGCCUUCCUUUUUGGUGGGUGUGGAUGAGUGGCGAACGGGUGAGUAACACGUGAGUAACCUGCCCCCUUCUUCUGGAUAACCUCAUGAAAGUGUGGCUAAUACGGGAUACUCUGGGUCUGUCGCAUGAUGGGUCUGGGAAAGAUAUUGUUUCGGUGGGGGAUGGGCUCGCGGCCUAUCAGCUUGUUGGUGGGGUGAUGGCCUACCAAGGCGGUGACGGGUAGCCGGCCUGAGAGGGUGGACGGUCACACUGGGACUGAGACACGGCCCAGACUCCUACGGGAGGCAGCAGUGGGGAAUAUUGCACAAUGGGCGCAAGCCUGAUGCAGCGACGCCGCGUGAGGGAUGGAGGCCUUCGGGUUGUGAACCUCUUUCGCCAGUGAAGCAGGCCUGCCUCGUUUGUGGGUGGGUUGACGGUAGCUGGAUAAGAAGCGCCGGCUAACUACGUG
rnacentral:rRNA from 1 species